rnacentral:rRNA from 1 species
UACGUAGGCAGCAAGCGUUGUUCGGAGUUACUGGGCGUAAAGGGUGUGUAGGCGGUUCCUUAAGUUUGCUGUGAAAUCUCCCGGCUUAACCGGGAGGGUGCGGUGAAUACUGAGGGACUAGAGUACGGGAGAGGAAAGUGGAAUUCCUGGUGUAGCGGUGAAAUGCGUAGAUAUCAGGAAGAACACCCGUGGCGAAGGCGGCUCUCUGGAAACGCAACUGACGCUGAGACGCGAAAAGCGUGGGGGAGCAAACAGG